rnacentral:rRNA from 1 species
UAGGAUAGAGGCCUACCAUGGUGGUAACGGGUAACGGGGUGUUAGGGCACGACACCGGAGAGGGAGCCUGAGAAACGGCUACCACAUCCAAGGAUGGCAGCAGGCGCGCAAAUUACCCAAUCCCGACACGGGGAGGUAGUGACAAUAAAUAACAAUACGGGGUUCUUUCGGAUCUCGUAAUUGGAAUGAGUACAAUUUAAAUCUCUUAACGAGGAACAAUUGGAGGGCAAGUCUGGUGCCAGCAGCCGCGGUAAUUCCAGCUCCAAUAGCGUAUAUUAAAGUUGUUGCAGUUAAAAAGCUCGUAGUUGAAUUUCGGGGUUAGUAGGUUGGUCAUGCCUCUGGUAUGUACUGGUCUCACUGAUUCCUCCUUCCUUAUGAACCGUAAUGCCAUUAAUUUGGUGUUGCGGGGAAUUUGGACUGUUACUUUGAAAAAAUUAGAGUGUUUAAAGCAAGCUAACGCUUGAAUACAUUAGCAUGGAAUAAUGAAAUAGGACGUUCGAUCUUAUUUUGUUGGUUUCUAGGAUUGACGUAAUGAUUAAUAGGGAUAGUUGGGGGCAUUAGUAUUCAAUUGUCAGAGGUGAAAUUCUUGGAUUUAUUGAAGACUAACUACUGCGAAAGCAUUUGCCAAGGAUGUUUUCAUUAAUCAAGAACGAAAGUUAGGGGAUCGAAGACGAUCAGAUACCGUCGUAGUCUUAACCAUAAACUAUGCCGACUAGGGAUCGGAU